rnacentral:rRNA from 1 species
UACGUAGGUGGCAAGCGUUGUCCGGAUUUACUGGGCGUAAAGAGCGCGCAGGCGGUCGUGCAAGUCGCGUGUGAAAGCCCCCGGCUCAACUGGGGAGGGUCACGCGAUACUGCUCGACUCGAAGGCAGGAGAGGGAAGUGGAAUUCCCGGUGUAGUGGUGAAAUGCGUAGAUAUCGGGAGGAACACCAGUGGCGAAGGCGGCUUCCUGGACCAGUACUGACGCUGAGGCGCGAAAGCUAGGGGAGCAAACAGGG